rnacentral:rRNA from 1 species
CCUACGGGUGGCAGCAGUGGGGAAUAUUGGACAAUGGGCGAAAGCCUGAUCCAGCCAUGCCGCGUGUGUGAAGAAGGCCUUCGGGUUGUAAAGCACUUUCAGUGGGGAAGAAAGCCUUGGGGCUAAUACCCUCGAGGAAGGACAUCACCCACAGAAGAAGCACCGGCUAACUCCGUGCCAGCAGCCGCGGUAAUACGGAGGGUGCGAGCGUUAAUCGGAAUUACUGGGCGUAAAGCGCGCGUAGGCGGUCUGAUAAGCCGGUUGUGAAAGCCCCGGGCUCAACCUGGGAACGGCAUCCGGAACUGUCAGGCUAGAGUGCAGGAGAGGAAGGUAGAAUUCCCGGUGUAGCGGUGAAAUGUGUAGAGAUCGGGAGGAAUACCAGUGGCGAAGGCGGCCUUCUGGACUGACACUGACGCUGAGGUGCGAAAGCGUGGGUAGCAAACAGGAUUAGAUACCCUUGUAGUC